AGCUGUAACAUCAACACUAUAACACGAGAAUGUCGUUUCACAGCAGAAAUCACACUGGGAAUCACGCCAGAUGACAUGUGCUUGCAGAGAAACACCGCCCAUGCUCUCCUCUGAUUGGCUGUGACUUUGAACAGACAAAUUGCUUCUUGGAAACUGAUUUGUGACCUCAUAAAAAAACAACUUACCAGAGAAAAAGAAGGACCCAACACAAAGCAGGACGAGUGCGCCCACUAUGAGCUGAUUGAGAGAGAAACCUCGCUUCUCCUCCUUCCUGACAGGC
rnacentral:lncRNA from 1 species